CUGCGAGUUUGGGGAAACGGCCUCUGGGAUGCUCCAUGCUGUGAAGGAACACCACCUUCCUUCCUCUGAGGAUACGGCGUGAGGGCAUUUGUCUUCUUGCUUUCCAAGUGGGGGAGAUGGGAAUUGUGAGGUUUGCCAAACAGUGAGCCCAAGGUGGAGCCGAGCUCUCCUGGCUUCACUCAUCAUGCCAGCUUCCAGCUACCGCGGUCUUAGGGGGUGCUUGGUGCUGUGCUGAGCACUCUGGCAUGCUGUGUUACUUCUAACACUCUCUGGGAGAGGUACUGUGAUUAUCCCCAUCUUCCAGAGGAGAUGACUGAGGCCCAGAGAAGUGAAGACACUUUCUCCAAGUCACAACAGUGAGGGGAGGGGCCAAGAUUUGAACCCAGGCCCGCCUGCCUUUAUAUCCUGUGUUCUGAGUCUUGGGUUAAGUGUUGUGCUGCCUCGCAUGGCCUCAACCGCAGGCUGGGCUCCGGGGAUGCCAUGGUCAGAGGAGGGGCUGCAGUCCCCAGAAAAGAGGGUGGCUCAGGAGCCCAUAGGUACCCCAGCAUGCAAACCCAUGGGCACACACACACUCUGACACAUGCAUCCUCCAACUCAAAUGGGUGGACAUGCUUGGGAAAACCAUGGAGAAAGUGAGGCCCACAGAGAGGGACCAUGAAAUCCUUGUCACUGCCGGGGCCACCAGCAUGAUCCAGACAUGGAAUUCUUCUCUCUCCCUCACUCUGUGUGUCUCACUCUCUGCAAAAAAGAGUCUUCACCAAGAGAUGCGUUGGAAAAGGAAAGAAAUGUGGUCAAGUGCAGCGAAUCAUGUUUGA
rnacentral:lncRNA from 1 species